rnacentral:misc_RNA from 1 species
GAUGAAGAACGUAGCAAAAUGCGAUAAGUAAUGUGAAUUGCAGAAUUCAGUGAAUCAUCGAAUCUUUGAACGCACAUUGCGCCCGCCAGUAUUCUGGCGGGCAUGCCUGUUCGAGCGUCAUUUCAACCCUCAAGCACAGCUUGGUGUUGGGACUCGCGUUAAUUCGCGUUCCCCAAAUUGAUUGGCGGUCACGUCGAGCUUCCAUAGCGUAGUAGUAAAACCCUCGUUACUGGUAAUCGUCGCGGCCACGCCAUUAAACCCCAACUUCUGAAUGUUGACCUCGGAUCAGGUAGGAAUACCCGCUGAACUUAAGCAUAUCAAUAAGCGGAGGA